UACAGGGGGGGCAAGCGUUGUUCGGAAUUACUGGGCGUAAAGGGCGCGUAGGCGGCCUUCUAAGUCGAACGUGAAAUCCCCGGGCUCAACCCGGGAACUGCGUCCGAUACUGGAAGGCUUGAAUCCGGGAGAGGGAUGCGGAAUUCCAGGUGUAGCGGUGAAAUGCGUAGAUAUCUGGAGGAACACCGGUGGCGAAGGCGGCAUCCUGGACCGGCAUUGACGCUGAGGCGCGAAAGCCAGGGGAGCAAAGCG
rnacentral:rRNA from 1 species